GGUAAUUAAUUUGUUAAAAAUAUUAAGGUGAUUUUUCACAUCAGUAUCUUUAUCCAUUCUGAAUUGGUACAACUCCUUCAAGUACAAGCGAUUUAUGAGUGACUUUGACAUGUAUAAGCUCUCCAAUUUCUUUUACAAAACAAUUGGCGAGGUCUCCUCUAAAAUAUUGUACUUCACAUGAGGGGCUAACAUCAAUCUAAUUGUACUCACUGCCUUUUGUUGAAGCUCCUCCCAAUUAUCAUCUUUCAUGGUCAUCGGUUGCUUCUCGUUUAAUACUUUAAUUAAUCCUUGUUAUACAAUGACAUUUUUCACGAUACUUUGCCAUAAACUGAAAUUAUUU
rnacentral:misc_RNA from 1 species